UACGGAGGAUUCAAGCGUUAUCCGGAUUUAUUGGGCGUAAAGGGAACGCAGGCGGUCUUUUAAGUCUGAUGUGAAAGCCUUCGGCUUAACCGGAGUAGUGCAUUGGAAACUGGGAGACUUGAGUGCAGGAGAGGUAAGCGGAAUUCCUAGUGUAGCGGUGAAAUGCGUAGAUAUUAGGAGGAACACCAGUGGCGAAGGCGGCUUACUGGACUGUAACUGACACUGAGGCUCGAAAGCGUGGGGAGCAAACAGG
rnacentral:rRNA from 1 species